UAUAAAAUCCGACCCAUGUUUGGAGGACCAACAAAGGUGGUCAACAGGAGAUUGUUGAUUCCUGACCCGCGGGAGGAAAUGGCAAUUCCUACUCCACAGGAUAAGCCAGAAGACAGAGUGAAGUCACAACCAUUGCCCACUUCAGAGAAUACUACCCCCUACUUCACCUUCUUGUGGGAACCCUCAGAGCCUGAUAGGCUUACAUCUGGUGAAGAGAGACCUGUCACCCUUAAUCAAAAUGGCUCUUGCGGAGAGAAUGAGCCCACUGGUAGAAAUGUUCCUAGUGAAGAAACCAAUGUGGCGGAAGAUGCCAUACCGCAGAAUGAACCCCUUGAAGACGACAGAUCUCGACAUGAUAACAUGAAUCAUGAGGUCGAGCGUCGGAGGUCCCGUCGGGUGAACAAGGGACAACACAGAAAUCGACUACAUCUCCCAGUGUCGGUAUUACCAAAGUGAAGUGAAAAGAUUAUUUCUUUUAGAGAGACUUUUCAUCUUAUAUGCAUUUGAUAUAGAGUGUGAUUAAUAUUCUAUAAUGUUUGACAUAUUUUUUUCUGCAUGUUAAGCUUACUGUAGUAAGCACUUUUAUACUUCAUUUUGAAUUUCAUGCAAUUACCGCAGAUAGCAACUAUUAUUGCAUGGAAUGUGGGGAAGAUAUUGUAUUUUUUGUGUUUUAUCUUUGUUUCAAACAUUAUGACAUUAAUCGUGGGGAAGAUGUUGUAAAUUGGAUUUUCCUUGUGUAAUAUUUCUCUAAAAAAAAUCUAGUUAAAAUGAUACUAUGUUUUAUUAUUUCAAUUCAGUACAUGUAGCAUUUGAAUAUACAGUGUAUAAUGAACUUAUAUUGCACAUUAUAUCUGCCAACUUUAUCUUUAGUACUCUUUCUUCCUCUCUGUACUUCUAUCAGCUUUGACUUACUCUCUCCCUCUCUGCUCAUUGGCUAAUUCUUUCCCGCCUUUUUUGGAGUAGCAGUAAUGCCAAUUCAUGUACCCCCUUUAGGGAUGCUUUUGUACUAUGAUGUGCACCAUUGCACUUUUAUUAUUAGCUAGGGAGAGAGUCCAGUGACUCAUGACACUGGCAGUAGCCAGGGCAUUCCCACUGCUUGUUGUUGAGGAGGAGACUUGUCCCUACAGAAGGAAGUUUAAUUUUGAAGUAGAGAAGACUUCUGCAAGGACUUCCCUUGAUGUACAAUUUUACUUUAGAUGUUGAAGCAAAAUGCAGAAUUAGUGUCUGACCGAGGCUGUUUUCCUUUGGUGAAUAAAAGAGUUCAAUGAAACCGCAGCCCUCGUGAGUCGUGUCAGUGUUGUGGUCGUCGGCGCGAACCCUUUCA